GACUCGUUGGCUCAGUUGGUAGAGCGCCGAAUUCCCACUAUCGGAGGUCGGAGGUUCGAGUCCUUCACGAGUCA